rnacentral:rRNA from 1 species
GACGAACGCUGGCGGCGUGCUUAACACAUGCAAGUCGAGCGGUAAGGCCCUUUCGGGGUACGACGAGCGGCGAACGGGUGAGUAACACGUGGGUGACCUGCCUCUAGCUCUGGGAUAAGCCCGGGAAACUGGGUCUAAUACUGGAUAUGACUCCAUGACGCAUGUUGUGGGGUGGAAAGCCUUGUGCGGCUAGAGAUGGGCCCGCGGCCUAUCAGCUUGUUGGUGGGGGAUGGCCUACCAAGGCGACGACGGGUAGCCGGCCUGAGAGGGCGACCGGCCACACUGGGACUGAGACACGGCCCAGACUCCUACGGGAGGCAGCAGUGGGGAAUCUUGCGCAAUGGGCGAAAGCCUGACGCAGCGACGCCGCGUGAGGGAUGACGGCCU